UGGGGAAUUUUGGACAAUGGGCGAAAGCCUGAUCCAGCAAUGCCGCGUGUGUGAAGAAGGCCUUCGGGUUGUAAAGCACUUUUGUCCGGAAAGAAAUCCUUGGCUCUAAUACAGUCGGGGGAUGACGGUACCGGAAGAAUAAGCACCGGCUAACUACGUGCCAGCAGCCGCGGUAAUACGUAGGGUGCAAGCGUUAAUCGGAAUUACUGGGCGUAAAGCGUGCACAGGCGGUUUGCUAAGACCGAUGUGAAAUCCCCGGGCUCAACCUGGGAACUGCAUUGGUGACUGGCAGGCUAGAGUAUGGCAGAGGGGGGUAGAAUUCCACGUGUAGCAGUGAAAUGCGUAGAGAUGUGGAGGAAUACCGAUGGCGAAGGCAGCCCCCUGGGCCAAUACUGACGCUCAUGCACGAAAGCGUGGGGAGCAAACAGGAUUAGAUACCCUGGUAGUCCACGCCCUAAACGAUGUCAACUAGUUGUUGGGGAUUCAUUUCCUUAGUAACGUAGCUAACGCGUGAAGUUGACCGCCUGGGGAGUACGGUCGCAAGAUUAAAACUCAAAGGAAUUGACGGGGU
rnacentral:rRNA from 1 species